GAUGAGAUGCUUGGGUUUUGAAUACAUACUAAGUUGUUUUGAGUUUCUGAUGGGCUCAUUUUGGCAAUUGAUAAUUGCUUGGUUGGAUAACCAGCUGUUAGUUCAAAAGGAAAUUUUGCCUUGUUAAGUUAGUAGCAGCAAGUCUAUCUUCUUUUGUCAAGUGCUGCUUCAUCUCAGUGAAGCUUGAUUUCCAUCUGCAAGAGGUCCUGUGGCAUACAGACCCUUUAGAGUUAUGGGCUUCAGCUCCAUCACAACAUCCAUACAUGUAUUGGUGGUGUCUUGACUGAACCACGCUGGUGUACACUGAAUUGGAGAGUCAGAGACUCCAGAAUCCAGCAGUAUUUGUAAUCUGAUGCCUGCUGUAUCAUCACAUUAAAAGCAAUGGGCAAUUUAGUAAAUAAGGCUCAGUGACACUGGGUUAAAAAACCCCCAAACAAUACAACAAAUGAACAAACAAAAACCAACUCAAACAAACAACUUUUCAUGGGAAGCUCUAUUUUAUGUGUGUUUCACAAACAGCACAGAAUGAGGAUCAAGAUUUAUUUUCUCAACAGCUUUUUCUUUCUUCACCUGGAAGCUUCAUAUCUGACUUUUAAGUCUUUCCAUCACUGAUGGUAUUAUAGAAUACUGGUAUAGUGUAUUUUGGGUUUCUUUUUUAAUUAGUUUGCUUAGGGUUAUGUCUUAAAUGGAAAUCCAGAGAAGAGUUGAAGGAGCAUAUGGAAUUACAGAAUUGCUAGUGCCCCUUUUUUCUUCAUUUCAGGAUCAAGUAUUCAAAACCAGACAUCAGUUGAGUGAACAUCACAAACAAAUCCAUCAUGAAGAAGCACCAAACCCACAAAUGAAAGAGAGGAAGAGAAGAACAAAGUCUGAAGAGAAUCCUGUGUGUUUCAACACAAAAGCAACUUGAAAGUAGAAUUCAAGCUAAUUUAAAUGCAGUAUCUACAUACCUACAGUAGGUCUGCAGAGUGCUACCAAAAUAAAUGGAUCCUCAGUAUUGGUUGAAUGGAAACCUUAAAUUCAGAGAAGCUUAUGUUCCAAAUUGAAUUCAGAAGAGCUUGGGCCUUCACACUGCCUGACAUCACACGGCUGAUGAGGUGUUCGGCUGUAGUUUUUGCUGCUCUUCUUCCCCUGACAAACAACUUCUCUGAAAAUACAUUAAGAAAUAUCACCCGAGUUCAGGAAUCUCAUUAAUUAGUUCCCAGGUCAUCUUUACUCUCAAACCACUCCCUGUAGAACAUUAGGUUCUUAAACUUCUACCUAAGCAUUCCAGCAAAGAAAGAAGUUGUUGGCAUUGUCAGGCUUUCAUGUUGAAAGCCAGGGAUUAUAUAUAAGAGGAGAAGAAAUUGUUCUUACGUGGCAAUUAAAAGCACUUAAGAGUGGUCUUUCCAAAGUGCUUUGCAUGGGGUAUGGUACAGGUGAUAACUCCAACGUGCUGAGAGGAUUCAGGGGAUUUGUCCUGUCCAAGGGAUAAAUGUGUUGAUUUCUGUUCUAGUUACCUCCUGCUGAUACAUUCUUCUUACUUAAAAAUGGAGAGAUUGAAUUUCAAAGCAGAAUCAGUUGAAACGUGUCAAAGCUGACUGUGAACCUUACAAGUGCUUUCUUCUUUUUGUCUUUAAUUUUUAACACAAUCUCUAUAUAAAACAGUAAGUGAUUCAAGAAAAUAUACUGAUGCUGUAGAAUUCAGUGGAGUAAACAUUUCUUCGUUGUUACUUUUUAUAAUAAAAUGAGUAUGUUAUCAUAGGCUUA